CAUAAUCACUUGUUCAUUAAAUNUGGACUAGUAUGAACGGCUUCACGAGGGCCACACUGUCUCCCUACUUUAAUCAAUAAAACUAAUCUCCCCGUGAAGAAACGGGGAUUCCUAUAUAAGACGAGAAGACCCCAUGGAGCUUUAAACCCAAAACCAACUACUAAUAUUUUCUUAUUAAAAACACUGUAUACCUGGCUUUUGGCUUUUGGUUGGGGUGACCGCGGAGAAUAAUAUAUCCUCCAUGAUGAAUAAUAUAUUUUUACUAAAGAACCACAUCUCUAAAGAUCCUAAACAUGACAUUUCUUGACCCAAGCCUACUUGAUCAACGAACCUAGUUACCCUGGGGAUAACAGCGCAAUCCAUUUCAAGAGCCCCUAUCGACAAAUGGGUUUACGACCUCGAUGUUGGAUCAGGGCAUCCCAGUGGUGCAACCGCUACUAAAGGUUUGUUUGUUCAACAAUUAAAGCCCU
rnacentral:rRNA from 1 species